rnacentral:lncRNA from 1 species
GGCACCUGUAGUCCCAGCUACUCAGGAGGUCAAGGCAGGAGAAUGCGUGAACCUGGGAGGCAGAGGUUGCAGUGAGCCAAGAUUGCGCCACUGCACCCCAGCCUGGACAACAGAGCAAAACUCUGCCUCAAAAAAAUAAAAAGUAAAUAAAAAUAAAGUGGAGGGGAAGGGAUGAAAUUCAGGUAGGAUGGCAAAGGAAGGCCUCAACGAGAGAGUGACUAAGGAAGUGGAGGCCAGAGCCAUGCAGAUAGCAUGAAUGUGAGGCCAAGGGAAUGUUAGAAUGUGAGGCCAAGGGAACAAUAAGUGCUAAGGCCCAGAGGCAGGACUGUGCCUGGUGUGUUGUGUGUUACUCAAUAAAGGAAUUGUUUUUCUCCUGAAUUACUUAGAAGAAGAAAAAAAAAUGCUUCAAGCUUCUGUUUUACUUUGUCUGUUGAAAACCAACCUGAAGAUUCCAGGAAGAAAGCAUAGAAGUCACCAUUCAAACUGCAAAUAAGAGGCAGCAGCAUUCAUGAACAAAGGAAAGCUGCAGGAACAUUUGAGAUACAGAAUGUAAGCACCACUGAAGACAGAGACUUCUGUUCACAGAUAUCAUCCCUGUGCUUAUAACAGUGCCCGACAUACAGUAAGUGCUCAAUAAAUAUUUGUUCAAUUAAUUCAUUCACUCUACAAGUAUAUACUUAAUAUAACAAAUAAUGUAACUUAAAAUACCUUACUCCUCUAAUUGGAAUUUACACUCUGUGAAGUAGAGGUCUUUGACUUCUUUGUUCACUGCUGUGUCCCCAGAAUCUAGAAUGGCACCAGGUAGCAAAGGUGUUCAAUAAAAAUCUGUUGAAUAAAUGAACGAAUGGAUAGGAACUCAUUGAGUACCUUUUAGUACCAAGUACUAAGUGAGGUGCUUGGGGAUUCUAGAUAUUUUAAAUAACUAACUAUGAUGCAAUGGGAUAAAUAUAAAUAAUAGAAGUAGGAACAAAAUGGCAUGGGAACUCAGGAGCAAUGGCACUGAAGAUCAUUCUUCACGCCUGAGUCUGAAAGAAGACACAGAUGUUUAUCUGCUCCCUGUGCCAGGUAAAGGGCCACAAAGGGAUUAAAGUGUAUGGUAUGGCGCAAUGUUUCUCAACUGUUAUUUCCAUAUGAGUUACCUGGGGACUCUUGUUAAAACAGACUCUGGUUUGAUGGGCCUGAGGUAAGCCCUAAGAUUUCACAUCUCUAACAAGGUGUUGUUGAGGCUGCUGGUCCUCAAACCACACACUGACUGACAAAUGUACACAACUCGGCACCCAUCCCCCUUAUUUCUUUUUACUAGACUAAAAUUUUGUCUAUGUAUCUAACACUCCCUCCUCCAGUAUGGAGAGGAAGUGGUUCUAGUCCCAGCUCCAGGGUUAGACUGGAUUUGAGCUUGGCCAAUCAGGACAAGGCAUUCUUUUGACUGAUUACUGGGUGAGAAUGGGAAUGGGAAGUAAGGAUGCAUGAUCUGUUUAGGGGAAAGGUUUUCCUUUCUAUGCUGCUGUCCUUAAACAAAGAAGCGUAUGGCUUGAUGGCUACAGGCAGCCAUCCUCCAACAUGAGAAGCAUGAGCCUCAAGAUGAACCGAAUGCCAAGGGUGCUGAGUGGAGAGGGGGAGAGAACCUGGGUCCUUGAUGAUCACUUAGCUGCUGAUUGUGUUGAUCCUGGAAUCUACUCUACCUCUGAUCUUUCAGCUGGAGUUGCAUAAUCUUCAAAGAAGAGUCCCUGGAGAGUCAUAACCAGAAAUGUUGGUUCAACACACACACUUGCUGUGCAAGACUCCUGGCCUUCAUCCAGACUCCUUGGGACAAGGUGUCCACAUGCACCUGAAUGCCGCCAAGGAGAUGCCAGGUAAGAAGAUUUUCACAUAGGUAUUUCAGUGUACAAACCUGUUGCACCACAUGUGCCCACUCAGGUAUUAAACUGAAUCCCUUUCCACACUGCAAUGUGACUGAACCUGAGGAAAAUAAUCUUCCACACCAGGCACAAAUGAAUAUUUCUGCUUAGGAGCAACCAGAAGUCCAGGAGUGAGAACAGAGUUCUCCAAGGCAAUUGCCUCUGGCAGCCACAGGCUGAGAUACCUGGGGUCUGUCUUUACUGAGAGACCUUGAAACCCUUAAGCCUCUUUUGGCCUCUAUUUUCUCAUCGCAAAAACACGGAGGCUGGAUUUAUCAGGUGGGAACUGCUUUAAGAUUCUAUGAUACUUUAGUUUGUUUCUAUCCAAACAUUCUCAUGGUAAUCCAAUAAAUUAAGGUGAAAUUUAUUGCAGUGAUUGAUUAUUCAGUUAAAGCCAAUUCAAAAAAAAAAACAAAAACCCGAGUUUAUCACUAUGCAAUAUGUCCAUGUAACACAUCUGCACUUGUACUCCCUAAAUCUAUAAAGAUAAAAAAUAUAUUAAAAAAACAAAAACCAGCCAGGUGCGGUGGCUCACACCUGUAACCUCAACACUUUGGGAGGUGAGGCAGGCAGAUCCCUUGAGGAGUUUGAGACCAGCCUAGGCAACAUGGCAAUACCUCAUCUCUACAAAAAAUACAAAAAUAGAGGCUAAGGUGGGAGGAUCGCUCACUCGAGCCUAGGAGGUUGAGGCUGCUGUGAGUUGUGAUUGUGCCAUUGCCUUCCAGCUUGGGCAACAGAGCAAGACCCUGUCUUAAAACAAAAAAAUGAAAAAACCUGUAAGCUACACUUGUGUGCAAGCACAUGCCUACACACACACACACACACACACACACACACACUCUCUCUCUCUCUCUCUUCACUCUUAAAAUACGGGGCUUGAAAUUAUUUCAGUUGUUUGUUCACACAGGCCCAAAUUGCUCAACACUGGGUUUCAUGUUGCCGCUAUUGACAUGUUAAUUGUACUGGAUUGUUUUCUGUCCUCUCAACUGUCCUCAUCUCUCUUUAAGCAGAAUGGAUUUCUAAACAUGGGUCCUCAAAACAGGAUGGUGGAGCCAGCCCCACAUGCUUGGGGGCAUGUAAGAGCUAAACGUGCUGAUAUGCUGAAUAUGUGCCUGAAAGAUGGAUGUGACACAAGGACAAUAAACAGUGGUUGAUUGAAGGAAAAAUUCCUGAAAAAUUGAAGGCAAAUACAUCUUUCACUAAACAGAAUCAAAUUUUAUGUGUUGUAGGACAAGUAUCCAGGACUACAUUUUAAAAAUGUAAAUGUAAAAAGAACACUGGAUUUAGGUCCAAAUUCAUUUCUGCUACUUACUGUGCAACUUUGGGCAAGAUCCUUAAGCACUGUCUCUGAGCUUUGGUUUCUUCUCUAAAAGUGUAGAUUAGACACCCACCUCAAAGGAAAGGGUGGUUGUGAUGGUUAAUACUAAGUGUUAACUUGAUUGGAUUGAAAGAUACAAAGUAUUGAUCCUGGGUGUGUCUGUGAGAGUGUUGCCAAAGGAGAUAAACAUUUGAGUCAGUGGGCUGGGAAAGGCAGACCCACCCUUAAUCUGGGUGGACACAAUCUAAUCAGCUGCCAGCACCACUAGAACAUAAAAAGAGAGACUGGCCUAACCUCCCGGACUAUAUCUUUCUCCCAUGCUGGAUGCUUCCUGCCCUCGAACAUCGGACUCCAAGUUCUUCAGUUUUGGGACUUGGACUGGCUCUCCUUGCUCCUCAGCCUGCAGACGGCUUACUGUGGGACCUUGUGAUCAUGAUAGCUUUUCCAGAAACUAUGAAAGGCAGAAGAAAAUUCCUCCUGUUUCAAAGACCUACAAAGCAGUAGCAGAUUCACCAACUUCUGCUGCAGAUGCUACAAGAAGCCUUUAUUCACUGUCUCAAAUGCAUUUUUUUUUCCUGCUUUGGCAUAACCCUGCAAAAGCUAAGGAGAGCAAGUGUCCUCAAAAGAAAGGGAGUGUUAAAACCCCGUUUAAAAAAAUACGAAAACUGGCCCGUCGUGGUGGCUCACGCCUGUAAUCCCAGAAAUUUGGGAGACCGAGGCGAGUGGAUCACUUGAGGUCAGGAGUUCGAGACCAGCCUAGCCAACAUGGUGAAACCCGUCUCUACUAAAAAUACAAAAAUUAGCUGGGUGUGGUGGCAGGCACCUGUAAUCCCAGCUACUUGGGAGGCUGAGACAGGAGAAUAGCUUGAACCCAGGACGCGGAGGUUGCAGUGAGCUGAGAUCACGCCACUGCACUCUAGCCUGGGUGACAGAGCAAGACACCACCUCAAAACAAGCAAGCAAACAAACAAACAAACAAAAAACCACUUCAGCUUCUAGCGUAGUGCUGGACAUGCAGUGAAGGAUGCCAAAAAGUUUAAGAAGGAAAAUGGAACAAGCACUGUGUCUACAGUCUUCACAACUGAGACUUAGUUUCUCUUCCUGCAGUGUAAAUAUAAUUGCCCUCCCUGUCUCCACUGGUUAUUGAGAGGACCACAUGACCAUGAGUAGCAGCAAUACAUUACCUAAGUUAUUAUUAUUAUUGUUAUUCAUCAUGCAUUCAACAAAUACUGAGAUCACUGUUCUAGGCUCUGGGGAUAUAGCAUUAAAUCAUCAGACUAAGAUGUCUGCCCCUCGUGCAGCUUCCUAAGUAAUUGUAAGAUAUUUUUAGUUUGGGAAUAGUUCUAAGUAGAAAAUAAACAGAGCAAAGUAAUUAAAAACAAAACAAAACAAAACAAUAAACAGGGUGGAGAUGGGAGUGGUUCUAGGUUAGUCAGUCCUUUUUGAUGGGGAUUUGGGAGCUGAGUCCUGAGCAAUGGGAAAGAGCCAAUCAUGAACAGAUGUGGAGGAGGAGCAUCUGUUCUGGGAAGAGCAUCUGCACUUCUUCAUGCAGGUUCUGAGUUGGGCAUGAGAUUGACAUGUCAAUGGACUAGAAAGACAGCCCAUGUUCUUGGAGCACAAUGAGCAAGGGAGAGGGACAGAGGAUGAAGUCAGAAAACAGACGGAAACCAGUGCAUCUAGGUCAUGGUAAGGAUUAUUCCAGAAAUCUGCUGAAAUGCAGAUGUUCCUGUUUAAUUGCCUUGACACACAAUAGGCACUUAACAAAUAUUUAUAUUCAUUGAUUUCCUACAGACAUAAUGUCUUAGAUAAAUAUGUGAUCUAACAGUCAUCUAAUUGACCAGGGCUCUGAGCAAAUGGCAGAUGUACCAGCAUAGCCUUUUUAAAGAGGACAGUAAUGCAGGCUGCAUUCCAGGGAGCAGAAUCCAGAGGUGGGCUUCUCAUCUGUAAUGGAUUGAACGUUUGUGACCCCCAAAAAUUCAUAUCUUUAAAUCCUAACCCCCAAUUUGAUGAUGGUAUUUGGAGGUUAGCCUUGGUCACGAGGAUGGACCGCUUAAGAACGGGAUUAGUACACUUUUAAAAGAAACCUCAGAGAGCUCAUUUGCACUAUUUGUCAUUUGAGGACAUGGGAAGGACCAGAAAGAGGCCCUCAUCAGACACCGGAUCUGGCAGCUCCUUCAUCUCGAAUAGCCCAGCCUCUAGAACCGUGAGAAAAUAAAUUUCUGUUGUUCAUAAGCUAUCCAGUCUAUGGUAUUCUGUUAUAACAACCCAAACAAGCUAAGACAUCAUCCAUCUUGGAAGAAACCGCUCCUAUUUCACUGUAAAUUGCAGAUUCCACCAACACCCUGCCAAACACCAAGAACUGAGCUCAAGCAAUGCAACUUUGAGCAAGUGAAUUACCUAGUAACA